GAUGAACGCUGGCGGCGCGCCUAAUACAUGCAAGUCGAGCGAACGGACGAGAAGCUUGCUUCUCUGAUGUUAGCGGCGGACGGGUGAGUAACACGUGGAUAACCUACCUAUAAGACUGGGAUAACUUCGGGAAACCGGAGCUAGUACCGGAUAAUAUUUUGAACCGCAUGGUUCAAAAGUGAAAGACGGUCUUGCUGUCACUUAUAGAUGGAUCCGCGCUGCAUUAGCUAGUUGGUAAGGUAACGGCUUACCAAGGCAACGAUGCAUAGCCGACCUGAGAGGGGGAUAGGCCACACUGGAACUGAGCCACGGUCCAGACUCCUACGGGAGGCAGCAGUAGGGAAUCUUCCGCAAUGGGCGAAAGCCUGACGGAGCAACGCCGCGUGAGUGAUGAAGGUCUUCGGAUCGUAAAACUCUGUUAUUAGGGAAGAACAUAUGUGUAAGUAACUGUGCACAUCUUGACGGUACCUAAUCAGAAAGCCACGGCUAACUACGUG
rnacentral:rRNA from 1 species